rnacentral:lncRNA from 1 species
AGAUGAUCACUGGUCACCAGGUUGCUUAACUCUAUCAGCGAUGUCAAAGGCUCACGGUGAAAAAUGUUGGAACAAGUCUUCCGCUUCGGCUCUGGGACUGUUGCCAUCUCUAUCAGUGAGCAAGCUCUGGAAUGUACCUGAGAAAUGAUAUGCAUGCAGGGAUUAGUUUUUCUUUUCUUUUUUUUUUCAAUUCUUUUUUUUAUUGCGUUUCUUUUGAAAAUAAACGUGCUAUGAUGCAAAUGAUGCAGACGACUGGCAGGCUGUGCAUCUCGGAACACAGGAUCGAAGCUUCGGCUUAAACUCUGAACCACAAUUCAUCUGAAACCCAAAGUCAACUGACAAACUGUCAUCUGAACCCAAUCUGAGGAACCAAGUCACCAACAGGACCACAAGUCACCAACUAGUCACCGACAAGUCACC